AAGCGCCUAUGACCAGACUUGGGCCCGGUGAAUCAUCCAGCGUUCUCGCUGGUGCACUUUGCCGGGCACAGGCCAGCAUCAGUUCGUCGCGGGGGAAAAAGGUUUCGGGAACGUGGCUCCUCCGGGAGUGUUAUAGCCCGUUGCAUAAUACCCUGCGGUGGACUGAGGACCGCGCAUCUGCAAGGAUGCUGGCGUAAUGGUCACCAGCGA
rnacentral:rRNA from 1 species